AACCAGACUCCUACGGGAGGCAGCAGUGGGGAAUAUUGCACAAUGGGGGAAACCCUGAUGCAGCGACGCCGCGUGAAGGAAGAAGUAUUUCGGUAUGUAAACUUCUAUCAGCAGGGAAGAAAAUGACGGUACCUGACUAAGAAGCCCCGGCUAACUACGUGCCAGCAGCCGCGGUAAUACGUAGGGGGCAAGCGUUAUCCGGAUUUACUGGGUGUAAAGGGAGCGUAGACGGCCAUGCAAGCCAGGGGUGAAAGCCCGGGGCCCAACCCCGGGACUGCUCUUGGAACUGCGCGGCUGGAGUGCAGGAGGGGCAGGCGGAAUUCCUGGUGUAGCGGUGAAAUGCGUAGAUAUCAGGAGGAACACCGGUGGCGAAGGCGGCCUGCUGGACUGCGACUGACGUUGAGGCCCGAAAGCGUGGGGAGCAAACAGGAUUAGAUACCCUCGUAGC
rnacentral:rRNA from 1 species